GCGAGUGAGCCGACUAGCUUUCCGUGUGGUGCGGCGGCAACGGCUGCGCGCGUCUCCCUCCUCCUCCUAUCGCGGGGCCAGCGUCCCUGAGGGAGUCCAGCUACGCUUAAGUCUGGCCGGUGCCACCUGUCUCCGCAAUGCCCCCCAAGAAACAGGCUCAGGCCGGGGGCAGCAAAAAGGCGGAGCAGAAAAAGAAGGAGAAGAUUAUCGAAGACAAAACUUUUGGUCUAAAGAAUAAGAAAGGAGCAAAGCAACAGAAGUUUAUCAAGGCUGUCACUCAUCAAGUUAAAUUUGGUCAACAAAAUCCACGUCAGGUAGCACAAAGUGAAGCUGAAAAGAAGUUGAAGAAAGAUGACAAGAAGAAAGAAUUGCAAGAGCUAAAUGAGUUGUUCAAACCUGUAGUUGCUGCUCAAAAAAUAAGUAAAGGUGCGGAUCCCAAAUCCGUGGUAUGUGCAUUCUUCAAGCAAGGACAGUGUACUAAAGGAGAUAAGUGUAAGUUCUCUCAUGACUUGACUCUGGAGAGAAAAUGUGAAAAGCGAAGUGUUUACAUUGAUGCAAGAGAUGAAGAGCUUGAAAAAGAUACUAUGGAUAAUUGGGAUGAGAAAAAACUGGAAGAAGUAGUGAACAAGAAGCACGGUGAGGCGGAAAAGAAAAAACCAAAAACUCAAAUAGUGUGCAAGCAUUUCCUUGAAGCUAUUGAAAACAACAAAUAUGGCUGGUUUUGGGUAUGCCCUGGAGGGGGUGAUAUUUGCAUGUAUCGUCAUGCACUUCCUCCUGGGUUCGUCUUGAAAAAAGAUAAAAAGAAAGAAGAGAAAGAAGAUGAAAUUUCAUUAGAAGAUCUAAUUGAAAGAGAGCGUUCUGCCCUAGGUCCAAAUGUUACCAAAAUCACUCUAGAAUCUUUUCUUGCAUGGAAGAAAAGAAAAAGACAAGAAAAGAUUGAUAAACUUGAGCAAGAUAUAGAAAGAAGGAAAGCAGACUUCAAAGCAGGGAAAGCAUUAGUGAUCAGUGGUCGUGAGGUGUUUGAAUUUCGUCCUGAACUGGUUGAUGAUGAUGAUGAGGAAGCAGAUGAUACCCGUUAUACCCAGGGAACAGGUGGUGAUGAGGUUGAUGAUUCAGUGAGCAUAAAUGACAUAGAUUUAAGCCUGUACAUCCCAAGAGAUGUAGAUGAGACAGGUAUUACUGUAGCCAGUCUUGAAAGAUUCAGCACAUAUACUUCAGAAAAAGAUGAAAACAAAUUAAGUGAAGCUUCUGGAGGUAGGGCUGAAAAUGGUGAAAGAAGUGAUUUGGAAGAGGACAACGAAGGGGAGGGACAGGAAAAUGGAGUCAUCGAUGCUGUUCCUGUUGAUGAAAAUCUUUUUACUGGGGAAGAUUUGGAUGAACUAGAAGAAGAAUUAAACACACUUGAUUUAGAAGAAUGACACCAAAGAAGUCAAUGAAAAAAUUAAGCCAGCUCAGCAUGAGUUGAAAUUGACUACAUUAAUUUUUUUCCACCUAGAAUUCUUCAACAGGAUGUUUGUUUCCCAUGCUGAUUCUGGAGGGCUUACUCUCCAAAAAAGGGAUAUUCUCCCUACAUCUUGUCUUCUGACUUUGGCUACAUCUCAUAGCAAAGAAGAAAGAAUUAGCUUUUAUUCAUUCAAUUAACAGGCAUCCUCGGUUAUCAAUAAUAUUUAAAGCCAUGAGUCUGGAUGAGAUCACCAAGAAAGUAAGUGUAGGUACAGCAAAGAAGACCAAGGACUGAGCUCAGUACACCCCAAUGUUUAGCAUUUAGAGAUAUGGGGCGAAACCAGCGAAGGAGUUUAAGGAAGAGUGGCCCACAGGGGAGAAGGGGAACAUUAAAAAUGGGCGUCCCAGGAACCAAGUGAAGUCAGUCUAUUGAAAAAGAUGAAAUGAUCAGUGUCUACAGCUGCUCAUACUUCAGAAACCCAAGUGAAUUUUCCUCUGAUAUUCACUGCAAGAACCAGGUCAAGCUCCUGGAGAUAAAACUCACAAAAUUGUGGGGCCCUGCUGAUGACUGGGUCUCCCUGGAGUUUUAAACUCUCAGUCUUGUGCACACUGAGCCUCCAGCAAUUUGUCAAUUACAGUUCAGGUUUUCAUAUCCCAGCACCGGUUCUCAUGAAGGUUUCUGCUCCAGAGGUGAUGGGAACCCAUAAAAUCUUCAACAACAGCCAUCUCCCCAGGUCCUGUGAACUACCCUUCCUCCAUCCUGAAUCAUUUAGAACAUCCUAUCUACUACAGUGCUGUGCCGUAUCCUUGCUACAGGAGUGAUUACGUGACCCAGGCAUGGCUGAUCCUAAUAUCUCACUCCUCUGAACACAGUGAUUGGUUCAGGGGUAUGUAAUAUUAUAAACAGAGCCAAUAAGAAUCAUUGCCUAGAGUCGGCAUACUGGUUUGAGAAGUAGGCAGUUUUUUUUAGCUAGUAUGGGAUUGCUAAACUAUGACACAUAGUCUGAGAUCGUGGGUAACUAUCUUCCCUCAUCAACUGGGGAGCCUGAAGCAGUAGGAGAGGAAAAGACUAAAACAAAGAAGGAAGGAGAGCUGGAAAAGGAAGAGGCAGAAAAAAGGGAGGGUGGGGUGCAGGGAAAAUACCACAUUCCCUGGGAAUUGUGUUGUGUUUGAAGCUAGAACCGACCCUGAGCUUCCUGUUAUGUGAACUAAUCCAUUUUCUUUCUGCUUUGGCUCAUGUGAGCUGGGUUAUUGUCACUUGCAAUUGAAAUGGUCCUGACAAACACUUCAUUUUUAGAAGCCCUGUAGGAUCUGCCAUGUGGCCAUGGUAUUUUACAUAUAGUGCUGAGUCAGUAAAGGUUUUAACUCAAUGAAAGCAUAGAUGAAUCUAUCUUCCGGCAUCAUUGAAAGGUGUUGUAGGUGCCAUCACAUAAUUUUGUGAAAAUAAUUAUUGUUGUCUACUUGCUUCUUUAACUCAACUUCAAGAAAAAAAAUUAUUUUCUUCUUUAAAGUUCCAUUUCCUUGGUGUAACAUUGGAUCCUCACAGUGUAACUGAAUUCUUU